CUUCUUGCCCUUUUUGAAGGCUGGCGUGACACUGGCUUUCUUCCAGUCCUCAGGGCCUGAGGUUCCUGAGGGUCAGUGAAGAAGACUGAAGCAAAGAAAGUAUUUGGGCCCUGCUGAUGGGAUUCUUCCAAGGAGGUCCCUGAAGAGGCCAAAGUUUGCCCUCUUGAAGUCCAGGAUUACAAUCCUAAUUCUUGCCCUGCUUCUUCCUUGCAAGAUCCCCAACUCCAUCUUGUGGUUGCUGCAGCCAAGGCUGCCUCCAACCAUCACAUUUCCAGCCAGCUCUUUGUUUCUUAAUACAAGGUCUAACAGCAUACCUCUCCUCAGCUCCUUGACUACCUGUGUCCAAAAGUUGUCAUCGGAGCUCUACAGGAAGCUUCUCGGCUGUUUGUGCCUAGCUGUGUGGUCUUUCCUGCAGGUACCAGGGAGGUUGAAAUUCCCCAUGAAAACCAGGCCUUGUGACUGUGAGGCUACUUCCAGCUGUCUGCAGAAGGCUUCAUCUACUUCCUGAUCAGCUGGCUCAUAGCAAACACACCCAUAACAGCAUCAGCCAUGGCGUGGAGCUGAUUUAAUCCUUACCCAUAAGCUCUCAAGACACUCUUCAUCUACCCCUAGGCAGAACUCAAUGCACUCCAGUUGCUUUCUGACAUUAAGAGCAACUCCACCUCACCUUCCUGGACUGUCUUUCCUAAAAAAAGCAUAUAGCCCUCCAUGACAGCAUUCCAGUUAUGUGAGCUAUCCCACAAUGUUUCUGUAAUUGCAAUGAGCUCAUACUCUUGUAACUGCACGCAGAUCCAAUUCCUCCUGUUUAUCUCCUAUGCUACAUGCAUUGCUAUACAAGCAUUUCAGGGAGGUGACAGCCUACAGGUUUCCCAGGAGGGCUGCAAGAGGAUACUCCACAGGAGGAUCAUCUCUUCCCAUCAGUUCUUGGUCUUCGAACAGGGUUCUGUGGUUAUAGAAACUAAAACCCUGUCGCCAACAACAGCAGCGUAGCCAGCCAUUGACUUGGAAUAUCUCUCUUCCUCUUUGUAUCUUUCUCCAUCUACUUGAAGUAUGGAGGAAAAAAGACUUGGGUUCUCAGGCCCUUGACCACCAUGCCCAGAGCUCUAAAGCUUGAUGGCUUCUAAUUUACCCUUGGUGUCAUUAGCACCCACAUGGAAGAGCAGCAGAGGGUAAUAGUCUGACUCACAAACAGGCUUUGGCAGUCUUUCCAUGACAUCUCUUAUCUAAGCCUCUGGCAGGCAACAAACCUCUCUAGACACGAGGUCAGGUCGGCAGAGAGGUGCCUCCAUACCCUGCAGCAGGGAGUCACACAAUCACCUGCUGCUUCUUCCAGGUGUUGCUGCUGGGCACAGGCUCUGUCGGCGCAGUUGCCUCCCUUGAAGUCUUGCCCAGCUCUUCCUCAGCCUGCAGGGCACUGAACCUGUUCCUCAAUGGCAAGGCUUCAGAAGGAGUAAGAGGAGUAAGGAGUAACCCUUUCUCUUCCUGUGAGAAGUGACCAGCUUGCAGCCCUCUCCUAUGGUGUUAUGAUGUACCACUUUGUGCAGAGCCCUCUGACAACUCCACUGCUGGACAAGGUUGGGAUUCCUGGAGCUGUAUGGUCUCCAUGAACACCCUGUCCAUCUCUUCAUCAUCUUCUCAGAUGCUUCACAACAUGCUGACUUCCUCUUGUAACUCCCUUACCUGACAGCACAGCUCAUGGACAACAGCACACCUUCUACGGGAGGGCUGACUCAGUCCAGGCCUCCCAAAGAGGCCCCAAGCACUGAGACAAGAAGAAACACCUCUGCUGUCAGGGGUCUGUCUGGGUUGAGACCUCUGACAGCUGAUGCAGUGAUUCCAGCAGCUGCUGGGGAAUAUGCUCUGUGGUGUGUCAUGGCCAUAUCUGAGGAAGAAUGUGCUACAAGGAUUGGAAACAAAGGUGACCUCUUGCACCCUUCUGCACAAGCCAUUGCCUCUGAUUGUUGUGCUCUGAGUCUGGCUCUUAUAUGGGCCUCUUCUGGCACUGACUCACAGGGUGUUUGAACCUCACAGUCAAGUCAGCUGAAUCCACCUCUGAUCAGAGGACUGGCAAUAAUCACCUCUAGUUCCUCAGGAGACCCUACCUACAACCUCUACCAAGAUCCUCAAAAGUUCUAACCAGAGCCUGGACACAGCUGUGUAAAGUGCUGCUUCUGUUUGCUGCCUCUGUUUGCUGUGCUUAAGAAAGGGCUGCCAAAGGAUGAUGAGAGCUACCCAAAGUUCUCCAAUGUGAGCACUAUUUCAAAUCCGCCCUAGGUGGGGUGCUGUUGGAUCGGGGUGCUGGCUAGGGUUAGGGGUCUGGAGAGAGCGAAAGUGCAGCCUUCCUGUGUGAAUGAGUUUGGGAAAGGGCUGCCAAGGGAUGUUGAAUUCUUGGGCCCAGUCUUACAGUCUUAAUAUCUAUAUUCAAAAGGAUCUUUACAAGUAGUGAAUUUGAGUAUCAGACAAAAGACCGCGGCAGGAGAGGACGCAUGUGCUGUUCCUCUGGCACAAGAGAUCCCGACAGCCGCCUGCUCUGGGGCCGCUCCCCGAGCCAUCCGGGAGGUGUCGCCGCAGACCAAGGCUGGGGAGUGCCGGGGAGCAGGAGGCGCCAGGAGCCUCCACGGGUCACUCGUGAAAAGUCUGUUGCAUUGCUGCGGUGUGACAGGGGCUUCUCUGCUGCCUCGGGGGGUGUCUUUUGCCUAUGUUUGAAAACCUGGUUUCUAAAAGCAGAGCUGUGGAGCAACUGAAUUUUAGAUGCCAGAACUAGCUGAUCUGCGGUGCUGCCUCUCUAGUGCUCUCAGAGAGCAGCGAGGUGAAGUUCCACAUGCAAAUCUUUCUUUUGUACGUUCAAAGUGGUUAGUGCAACAGAAGUGCAUAUGGGAUCUUACCUUCAAGCCUGUGGGCCACGGCUGGAAGUGUGGGUCUCUACCUGUGGGCUGCUGAACCUGCUGCCAGCUGGGAUGCCUUGUGCGGCAUCCGUUGUGUUAAAGCUUCAGAAACUUUGAAAUACAGAGGGACUUUGCGCUCGGUCUGGUAAGGGAUUGAAUUUCUGCAUGCAGAAGAGACUUGAUAUAAUUUUACAUUAAAGCAGAUGCAAAAUUAAGGAACUCUUCCACUGAGGACACAGUUACCUUAGAAUUGUGGGACCACAUCAUGAGCAGAAGGCAGUACUGCGUGUUUUGUGGAGGAUCUCUGUAGUUCCAGGGUUUUAAUGAGUGCCAUGACACUUAAAUAAAAAAAAUUAUGUAUCACUUCUA